rnacentral:lncRNA from 1 species
GCAAAUUCCCAGAUUUCCCACCAAAUCCCCAAAUUUCUCACUAAAUUCCCAAAUUUUUCACCAAUUUUCCCACUGAAUUUCCAAUUUUCCUGCCAUAUUUUCCUCCAAAUCCCAAAAUUUCCUCCAAAUUCCCAAAUUCCCCACCAAAUUCCCAAAUUUUUCACCCAUUUUCCCACCAAAUCCGGGAUUUUCCCGCCAAUUUCCCACCAAAUUCCCAAAUUUUUUCACCAAUUUCCCCGCCAAAUUCCCAAAUUCCCUCCAAAUUCCCAAAUUUUCCACCGAUUUUCCUGCCCAAUCCCAGAUUUCCCCUCCAAAUUCCCAAAUUCCCACCAAAUUCCCAAAUUUCCCACCAAAUUCCCAAUUUCCCUCCAAAUUCCCAAAUUUUCCCACCAAAUUCCCAAUUUUUUCACCCAUUUCCCUCCAAAUUCCCGAUUUUCCGUCCCAUUCCCGAUUUUCCGUACCCGCCUUGAGCCUCUCGGUGCCUCCCUCGUGUUCGAUCCCGGCGGCCUCGGCGAGUCCGGAACUCCCAGAAUUCCCGGAAUUCCCAGAAUUCCCGGAAUUCCCGGGAGGCGGCUCCGCCCCCCUCUGCGGCCUGCGGAGAAAUUCGGGAAUUCUGGGGCUGCCACCCCCAAAAAUCCCAAUUUUUUUCCCCCAAUUUUCCCCAUUUUUCCCUUAUUUUUCCCCAUUUUCCCCAAUUUUCCCAGAAUUUUCCCCAAUUUUCCCCCAAUUUUCCCCAAUUUCCACAAGCUUCCCCCAUUUUCCCCAAAUAUUCCAAAUUUUGCCAAUUUUCACCACAAUUUUACCAAUUUUUCCUGAAUUUCCCCUCAUUUUCCCCCAUUUCUUCCUAUUUUCCCAAUUUUUCCCCAUUUUCCCCAAAUUCUCCCAUUUUCCCCAUUUUUCCCCUACAUUUUUUCCCAAUUUCCCCAUUUUCCCCCCAUUUUCCCUCUUUUUCCCAUUUCUUCCAAUUUUCCCCCAAAUUUUCACAAUUUCCCUGAAUUUCCCCCAUUUUUCCCAAAUUUCCCCCAUUUUCCCUGAUUUUCCCAAUUUUUUCCCACUUCACCCCAAAUUUUCCCAAUUUCCCAAAUUUCCCCCCCAAUUUUUCCCAUUUUCCCCAUUUUUCCCCAUUUUCCCAAUUUUAUCCCAAAUUUUUCCCAUUUUCCCCCAAUUUUCACUUUUUUUCCCAUUUUUUCCCAAUUUCCCCCCAUUUUCUCAUUAAUUUCCCCCAAAUUCUCCCCAUUUUAUGCCAAUUUUCCCCAACUCUUCCCCAAUUUUCCCCCAAUUUUUUCAAUUUUCCCAAAUUUUCCCAUUUUUCCCAAAUUUCCUCCCUUUUUUUUCCAUUUCCCCCCAUUUUAUUCCAAAUUUCCCCAAAAUUCUCCCAAUUUGCCCAAAUUUUCCCCCAAUUUUUCCAAAUUUUCCCAAUUUUACCAAUUUUGCCUCAAAUUUUCCCUCCAUUUUCCCCUAUUUUCCCCUUUUUUCCCCAAUUUCUCCCAUUUUAUCCCAAAUUUUCCCCCAUUUUCCCCAAUUUUCUCCCCAUUUUUCUCCAUUUCCCCCCAUUUUAUCCCAAAUUUCCCCAAAUUCUCCCAAUUUUCCCCCAAUUUUCCCAAUUUUGAACCAAAUUUUCCCCCAUUUUCCCCUCAAUUUUUUCCCCAAUUUCCCCCCAAAUUUCCCCAUUUUCCCCCUUUCCCCAUUU